AAAGCGUCGGUAAGGUGAUAUGAACCGUUAUAACCGGCGAUGUCCGAAUGGGGAAACCCAGUGUGAUUCGUCACACUAUCGUUAACUGAAUACAUAGGUUAACGAGGCGAACCGGGGGAACUGAAACAUCUAAGUACCCCGAGGAAAAGAAAUCAACCGAGAUUCCCCCAGUAGCGGCGAGCGAACGGGGAGCAGCCCAGAGUCUGAAUCAGCUUGUGUGUUAGUGGAACGGUCUGGAAAGUCCGACGGUACAGGGUGAUAGUCCCGUACACCAAAAUGCACAGGUUGUGAACUCGAAGAGUAGGCGGGACACGUGGUAUCCUGUCUGAAUAUGGGGGACCAUCCUCCAAGGCUAAAUACUCCUGACUGACCGAUAGUGAACCAGUACCGUGAGGGAAAGGCGAAAAAGAACCCCGGCGAGGGGAGUGAAAAAAGAACCUGAAACCGUGUACGUACAAGCAGUGGGAGCACCUUCGGGUGUGACUGCGUACCUUUUGUAUAAU
rnacentral:rRNA from 1 species